UCCAGUGUAGUAUUAUAAAUCUUUCGCCUUUUACUAAAGAUUUCCGUGGA
rnacentral:snRNA from 1 species